GGUUAGAAAUAUGACAAAGCUAGGGAACAGGUAGAGCAUGGAUGAGGCUAUCAACAGAGAUCAGAGAAUGAAAACAAAUAUGUUGUAGCUUCAGUUAUGCACUGCCUCUUCCCUGGCUAAGUUUCUUUCCUUUUU
rfam:Lupinus angustifolius cultivar Tanjil chromosome LG08, whole genome shotgun sequence.